AGAGAGCGCGCGGUAGCAAAGAGUUUCUCAUCAUAUUACCUAGAGGGAAACCUGGCACCACCGUCUAUGGAAGUUU
rnacentral:lncRNA from 1 species